rnacentral:SRP_RNA from 1 species
GUCAGGCACCAUGGCAUGCACCUGUAGUCCCAGCUACUUGGGAGGCUGAGGCAGGAGGAUUGCUGGAGUGUUUGAGGCAAGGAGUUCUGGGCUCCCAGGAGCAGGGGACCACCAGGUUGCUUAAGGAGAAGGGUGAACCAACCCAGGUUGGAAAUGGAGCAGGUCAAAACUUCCAUGCUGAUCAGUAGUGGGAUCGCAUCUGUGAAUAGCCACUGCACUCCAGCCUGGGCAACAUAAUGAGACCCUGUCUCAU